UCUUUCGCUUAUAUAAACAAAAUGCUUUCCACUCUUAGGAUAGAACGAUUGAACCGUUCUCUUAGUAAACUGUAGAGAUGAUCGUAGAGUGUCAGCAAAGUGCGUGUUAGACUUGUAGCAUUUUUUUGUAUGCUAAGUAUGAACAAAGAACGAUUCGUGGCACUAUAACACUUUCUAAACUCGGUUUUGAACAUCCUUAAUAUGUAUAUAUAUUUAUUUGUUUAACAUAUUGAUGUGUUUCAUUUUUUAAAAGCUCAAAAAGUGCAGAUUUCUUUUAAACCUCCAGUUAGUUUUGAAAACCUGUAUUUUACUAAACUCUUGUGGACAAUAUUUAUGCCGCUCGUUAAAAAAAAGCAAAGAAAAUUGUUCUUUAUGUCUUUUCAAAGUUGAUCCGGAUAUUGCCAAUCUGCUCUUGCUGAGAGUUAAAGAGAUUGACAUAUUUGCAUGAGAUUUGUUUAUUCCUUUGAUCCAUGUUUAAAUGUUGAUACAUAGACUAGAAUUGUAAAUUGAGUGAGUGGUUGGAUUGUUUUGCUAUCUGUAAGCGUUGUUGAUUCUUUGAUGACAAACAAUCCUUUAAACAAAUUCAUCAUACCAAUUAAUACAAGGAUAUUGCUUCAAGAGAUUAAAAUUGUCUCGAUGACAUGAAAUGAAUCUGACAGUUCAUUAGCUUCAUUCUUACUAUUCAAGUGUUGGAACGUUCAAUCUUCUUGAAUUGUCUUGAAUCCAACAUAAAAAAAAAUGGCUCUAGGUAAGGGGUUAUGCCAUCGAUUCGUACACGGUAAAGCACCGGAGUAUUUAUCCAAUAUUCAAUUUUUACAUAUCCUCAUCAUGAAAAUGAAGACUCGUUUUUUUAUUUACAGGUUCCACAAACAUUUCCUAACUUGGUAGAUAUAGUUCGCUGGGGUCAUUAAGUUGAUAAUAAAUACAAGUUCCUACGAAGCAUCACUUGAAACUAGUGCCUCAUGAGUAACACCAUGCAAAGCUUUCCAAUUUGCGGAAUCCCAUGGAACCAAGUGGAUGGCAACUUGUGCACGAUCAAUGCUAUUUUGCAAACGAUAGGACUGAGCCAAAUCGUCUGGUCGUGAAGGGUGUGUAUACAACGUAGUAGCAAAUGCGUUUGCUAAAGACUUUGAAGCAUAACGGUUGGUAAGUAAAGUCCAACUAGAAGCUGCAAACGGAUAAACAUGAAGAAAUCGUUGUAAAAGCGAUUUAAUCAUUGAUUCAUCUAUUUUCUUCGUUAAUAAAACCUCCAUAAUCUGAACUUGUUUGAGGGCCCCGCUACGAAGUACUUCGUCUUUCUUCAAAUGAGCAAUGGAAUCUUCAAUCGCAGAGCAUACAGCAUCAUCUUCAUCAUAAAUAGCUAUUGCACCAAGACAUAACAACGAACCAAUAUGGCUAGGGGACUGUUCAAGAGCUUCAAAUAAUUGUUCCCUUGCGGCUUGUUUGCCAUUCUCACUGCCAAGGGCCCAUAACACCUUGGAUACUAAAACUACGACGUCGGCAUUUGAAUCGCUCACAAGCAAAGCCUUUUCAAAACAAUCCAGUGAUUUCUCUAACUUAUUCAAAAAGAAAGAGGCGGUUCCACAUGUGAGAUUCAGUCCAAGGGUAGUCCGUUUAAUAUCUUCGUCUUCUUCCCCUUCUAAUAAAUCCAGUGCAAUACCGGCUUGUUCAACUGAAUUCUCAAAACUUUUCUUAGCCAAAUAUAACCUGCCGAGUAAGGCUUUUGCAUCAAUAAAUCUCUUCAAUAUGACAGGAGAUUCGGAAACAUCGUACUCCUGUUCUAAAAGUUCACACAACCGUAUCGCCGAGGGAACACUAUCCGUCGUCUCCCCAAGGUGUUCUAGUAAGGAAGCCUUGAUAUAAUAUGCAAAUGUAUCGGUUGGAUUUUCCCCAAGAUACCUUUUAAUAGCAUAGGUUGCAGACCAAAUAUCGCCGUCUGUUGUCACGAAGUCCUCGGUGUUUACUGCAUGUAGCAUCGUGUCGGCGUACCAAUAAUUAACAUCUGGCAUCUUACCAGAGGAUAUCUCAAAUGCAUGAUGGAUUAUUUGAACUGCCUUCCGAAUAGAUCCAACCGCAAUUGAACAAUAAGCUUUACCCAACCAAGCCUGUGAGUUAUCUGGGUCAAUAGAGAUAGAACGAGUAAACGCAGCGUUUGCGCAUUCCACAUCGUGAUUUUGUAUACAAAGAGCACCAUAAUUUGCCCACACUCCGGAACUUCUUUCAUUUAGA